rnacentral:rRNA from 1 species
AGAGUUUGAUCAUGGCUCAGGAUGAACGCUGGCGGCAUGCCUAAUACAUGCAAGUCGAACGAAGUGCUUUAUGCACUUAGUGGCGAAUGGGUGAGUAACACGUAUUUAAUCUGCCUAAUAGUGAGGGACAACAGUUAGAAAUGACUGCUAAUACCGCAUAGUAUAUUUUAUGGCAUCAUAAAAUAUUUAAAGGCGCUUCGGCGUCGCUAUUAGAUGAGGAUGCGGCGUAUUAGCUUGUUGGUAAGGUAAUGGCUUACCAAGGCAAUUAUACGUAGCCGGCCUGAGAGGGUGAACGGCCACAUCGGGACUGAGACACGGCCCGGACUCCUACGGGAGGCAGCAGUAAGGAAUUUUUCACAAUGGACGAAAGUCUGAUGGAGCAAUGCCGCGUGAUUGAUGACAGCCUUAGGGUUGUAAAAAUCUGUUAUAGAGAAAGAAUUGUCAGUAUAGGAAAUGAUAUUGGCUUGACGGUACUUUAUCAGAAAGACACGGCAAACUAUGUGCUAGCAGCCGCGGUAAUACAUAGGUGUCAAGCGUUAUCCGGAUUUAUUGGGCGUAAAGAGUGCGCAGACGGUAUGAUAAGUUUGAGGUUAAAGGCUAGGGCUUAACCCUAGUUCGCCUUGAAAACUGUCUUACUAGAGUGUGGUAGAAGUUGAUGGAAUUUCAUGUGUAGCGGUGGAAUGCGUAGAUAUAUGAAGGAACACCAGUGGCGAAGGCGAUCAACUAUGCUAUUACUGACGUUCAUGCACGAAAGCGUGGGGAGCAAAUAGGAUUAGAUACCCUAGUAGUCCACGCUGUAAACGAUGAGUACUAAGUGUC